rnacentral:tRNA from 1 species
GGACAGCUGGCCGAGUGGCUGAAGGCACCUGAUUCGAAAUCAGACAGACCUGCAAGGGUCUCGGGGGUUCAAAUCCCUCGCUGUCCGCCA